UAUUCAUUGUUUAUUGUAUACAAAAGAUGUUCAUCAAGUACAUGUACAUUAGAAAUAACAAUGUUUUCUUCAAUCUGUACGGCUUCCUUUUAAAAGAUUAACUAACCCUUUCUUCCUGUGCACCAUCCAGAAAUGCACAAAUGGCUAGAACAGCAGUCACGCCUCGUAUAACAUUUUCUAGGCCAACAUGAAUAUCUUUUUAUACGACUA
rnacentral:lncRNA from 1 species